GGCCUGCUAGCUCAGUCGUUUAGAGCGUCGUGCUAAUAACGCGAAGGUCGUAGGUUCGAUCCCUGCGCAGGCCA
rnacentral:tRNA from 3 species